rnacentral:ncRNA from 1 species
CAACGUCUUGGUCCUAAACUUGGUGUUAUUUUAUGCCAACUAUACACAUGCAAGUCUCCGCACCCCUGUGCCAACGCCUACCCCCACUACACCAGAGCCGGCAUCAGGCACGUUACACAAACAGCCCACAACGCCUAGCCAUUGCCACACCCCCACGGACCCCAGCAGUGAUUAACAUUAAGACAUAAGCCACAAAACCGCAAGCUUGACUUAGCCACAGCAUUCAAGGGCCGGUAAACACCGUGCCAGCCACCGCGGUUAUACGAUGAGCCCAAAAUAACACCACACGGCGUAAAUUGUGACUAGAAAGCGCUUCAACAACCAAGGGAAACCCGCCACAAAACAUGUAGCACAGACGUAAAACCCUAAUACUACAUAGAACCACAGCCCACCUUCCCCCCACGAACUCUUUUGACCACACGAAACCUAAGACACAAACUAGGAUUAGAUACCCUACUAUGCUUAGAAGUAAACCAAGGCAGCAAUCCCACCCCACUGCCCGCCAGAGUACUACAAGCGAAAAGCUUAAAACUCAAAGGACUUGACGGCAUUCCACACCACACUAGAGGAGCCUGUCCUAUAAUCGAUAACCCACGUUCAACCCCACCUGUUCUCGCACAAACUCAGCCUAUAUACCGCCGUCUACAGCCCGCCUUACAAAAGACCACGCAGCGAGCAAACCAGUCUAACACUAACACGUCAGGUCAAGGUGUAGCUAACGAACAGGAAGAGAUGGGCUACAUUUUCUAUCAAAAAAGAAAACUACCGUCCACACCAUGAAACAGGCACACAAAGGAGGAUUUAGCAGUAAGCCACGCAAGCCUGCCUGACUGAACCCAGCCCUGGAAUGUGUACACACCGCCCGUCACCCUCAUCCACACCGUACCUAAAAGAUAUAUAAUACCAACUAUCAACACGAGAUGAGACAAGUCGUAACAAGGUAAGUGCACUGGAAAGUACACUUGGCAGACC